rnacentral:rRNA from 1 species
UACGGGGGGGGUAAGCGUUGUUCGGAAUUACUGGGCGUAAAGGGCUCGUAGGCGGCCAACUAAGUCAGACGUGAAAUCCCUCAGCUUAACUGGGGAACUGCGUCUGAUACUGGAUGGCUUGGAUUCGGGAGAGGAAUGCGGAAUUCCAGGUGUAGCGGUGAAAUGCGUAGAUAUCUGGAGGACCACCGGUGGCGAAGGCGGCAUUCUGGACCGACAUUGACGCUGAGGAGCGAAAGCCAGGGGAGCAAACGGG